UUUUCCAUGCAUUUCUAUACAUGUAUGUACAGAUGUACAAACAUCAUUUUAGGGUUUAAUUUGUUUUGUUUUCCCUUAGUGGGGUAAUACAAUAAGUAUUAUUUUCCAACUAGCAGAUUUUUUUUUUUUUUUUUACUGCAGCAUUUCUCAGAGUUUGCAUUAUGGCUUGUCCAUUGUGAAUCUCCAAAAGUGGGAUACAUGAUACUGCAUUCGUCAACUUGACCAUAGAAACCUCUUGUCCAGGAGCCUUUUAUAGAAACACUGGUUUGGGGAGUACUGAUUUGCAGUUUUUGUCUAAUAUCUGGGAAACAGGGUGGUGAUUUUGCUUUAUGAUCCGGUUAAUGGUGAGUCACUUUAUAAUAUAAAAUUAUUUCACAUUUGGCCUUUUUGUUUAGAUCUGUUAGUCAAGUGUAUUGGUGAAGAAACGAAGUAUGAAAGCAUCAGACUUCUGUUUGAUGGCUUACAACAACCAGUACUCAACAAGCAGCUGACUUAUGUUUUAUUGGACAUUGUGAUACAGGAACUGUUUCCAGAGCUCAAUAAGGUACAAAAGGAAGUUACCUCUGUGACAUCUUGGAUGUAAACACUUGGAUUUGGUAUAGAAUAACCCAUUGAAAUUUCUGCUGUGCUAGGGUGGUAGAAAUUUACUUUUUUGGGUAUAUUCUUAUACAUAUUAUGUACAUCGCUGUCUGAAAUUUUAAUUAUUUUUUGUUUUUAAUAAAGACUAACACAAACUUAAUAAUGAUUAAAAGUGA
rnacentral:sRNA from 1 species